rnacentral:rRNA from 1 species
AUUGAACGCUGGCGGCAUGCCUAACACAUGCAAGUCGAACGGCAGCACAGUAAAGACUUCGGUCUUUAUGGGUGGCGAGUGGCGGACGGGUGAGUAACGCGUAGGAAUCUGUCCUGGAGAGUGGGAUAACCCGAGGAAACUCGGGCUAAUACCGCAUGAUAUCGAGAGAUCAAAGGCAGGGGACCCUUCGGGGCCUCGUGCUUCAGGUUGAGCCUAAGUCGGAUUAGCUAGUUGGUGGGGUAAAGGCCUAACAAGGCGACGAUCCGUAGCUGGUCUGAGAGGAUGACCAGCCACACUGGGACUAAGACACGGCCCAGACUCCUACGGGAGGCAGCAGUGGGGAAUCUUGGACAAUGGGGGAAACCCUGAUCCAGCGAUGCCGCGUGUGUGAAGAAGGCCUUCGGGUUGUAAAGCACUUUAGGUGGGGAAGAAAGGUAAUGAGUGAAUAACUGAUUGCUUUGACGGUACCCGCAGAAUAAGCACCGGCUAACUCUGUGCCAGCCGCCGCCGUAA